UCUGUAGUUUCUCCAAGCAGUAACCUUCUCUCAUGACAAACUGUACCCACUUGCUAGAAACUCAGCAACUUGGUUUUUCCCGUUCUGCGUGGCUCCCAGAUGGCCACCAGCUGGCCGGAGCUAUUUCCUGCAUUCUAAUCCCUUUCUGCGUCCUCCUGGUUCUCUUUUUGAUCUCCCACGUCUGUCCCCUCCUCCUUCUAACACCCACCAUACUAUAUCCCUCUUUGGAAGCACCUAUUUUCUAAGAAAAUCUUGAGGAAUUUUUUGGAGGCAUUACGUCUUUUUUGUUUUGAAACUUUUGGAUUGUAAGGAAAACCAGUUGCAGAGCUAGCCAGAGGCCCCAGCUCUGCUCCAUCAGCAGAAGGACAGCUGUCUCUGAGGGCAGGACGAGGACCCCCGCCUUGCAGGGGUCAUGGCAGACUGUUUUGUGACAAGGCCGUUGGGGGACAAAUGGACCUGACAUUCUCCAGAAACCAGGCUUCAGUCUUUGAGCUGCACUCCUCUUCCUUCAAAAUCGUGGCAAGGAGACGCCUAUUCCCCCGGCGUACUCAUGGACCAGCGAGAGCCACUGACAGAUGCAUCACUGGAUCCUAACUAAGCACUUUUUGUUCCAUCUCCCUGUGACCAGAGUAUUGUACCACAAUCCCAGUUGUUUGCAAUAAAUGGCUUGUCUUGAUUUUCCAGAUUAUAGCUAGAAGAUUGCCUCAAACGAUGAAUUGUAGAAUGGAGCAGGAUGUCUGUGUGUCUGCGUCUUCACCCGGGUUUUUCAGGCCACUGUGUCUGUGAACUUAGCUCCAUGAAAGCAAGAAGCCUAUGAGAAUUCCACCAGAGGCAAGCCUGGCCUUGGCGCUUCGCUGUCUUAGCGUGUGUCUGGCCCUCCCAUUCCUGGCCAAGGCCCACAGCCACCACAGAUGACCUGCUGAUGCCUCUGCUGAAAUCAGUGGCCACUGGCCAACAGCUUGACAAGAGUGUCAGCUCCCUCCCGAGACGAAAUCAGAGGAAAACGCCUCUAGUUUCUAAGAAGCACACAGGGAGCCACUUCUUUACCGCUAGCUCCUGCAGGGUUUUGCUCCCCGAGCCCCGCCCUGCAGGUGCUGGUUUGCCUCCUGAGCCCUGUCCUAAGGACACUCUGCGCGUCGCCUCCUGGUGAGGAGACUGAGGCAGAAAGAGGUUGAAUGAUGUGCCCAAGGGAACAGAAGUCAUGAGUAGCAGAGCUGGGCUUGCUAAACCUCGUGUGGUCUUCAAGCUCAGGUCCAUCAGCACUGGAACAAGCUAUGGUGUUAGUUGAGUUCACAGUAGGGCAUGUCAUUUUCCUGCCAAAUUAUCUCAGUCUGGGUACAAAUAAAAUCUCAGCCUGCUGCUUUUUUUUUUAACCUCAGUAUGACAUACACCAAAAAUUCUGUGUCAAGUGUGUCUUAUACAAGAUUUUUCCAGUGGCUAAUCUAUUAAUGGGAAUUGCAUCAGCAUCAUUGGGUUCUGUCACUUUUUCAUGCCAUUAUAGCACCAUUUAGAAGCUCAUUUAAUUUCACAAAGUCACCAUAUACUGUUCCCUUCCCUCCAUGUCUCUCUUCCUUAGCUAACGUGUCAUUUUCUCACUCCACACUCCCUCAUUAGAGCCCGGCAAUCUGACUUCUCUCCCUGAUCCUCCACUGACAUUUUUCUCACCACUGGUUCCAUUUCUAAUAAAUCACAUGGGGUUUUCUCAGUCUCUCUUCUUCCUCGAGCUCCCUGGAUGUUCAGCUGCUAAUCACCUCUUCCCUCCAGACAUCCCUUCUCCCUUGGCUUCUGCUGGCUCCUUUCCUCUCUGUUACCCCAACACUUCCUCCCUCCAGUGCUCUUCGAGUCUUACUGCUGAGCAGUCUUCCCUAAGCCAAUGAUAUUCAUGACUACAUCUCUUCCUGAAUCCCAAACCGAGACUUGCAGCUUCCAACAGGACCCUUGCACUUGGGGGACCUUGGCUGUUCUAAAGCCAUCUCACUCUCAACAUACACAGCAUCAAACCUUAGGCCUUAGCUUGGCCUGCCAGGAAGCUGAGCAGCUCCAUUUGCUUGCAGCGCCCUCCAUUGUCUUGGUAUGCUGGCACUGGGAUCUUAUGCUUGGAGCUCGAUAAGAAUGAUUGGAAUGUAUCUAGCCUAGUGUCUGGCAUGGAAAAGGUGCUCUGUAAAACCAUUUCCUCUUUCCUUUUCCUUCUCUCUCCUGCCCAGUGUUUAUGGAGUCACCAGGUCUGUUGAGCAUGGAAGGAAAUGCCAGCUUUAUUCCAUUCCAUCCACCCCACUGCCACUCCACUGACCCCUCAUCCAUCAGCCUGGAAUAGUGUCUAGCCUUUGAGCCCAUCUCCCAGCCCGCAUUUCUCCAGGGAACCACCCUGUUCACUGACACCAGGUAAAUCUUUCCAACCCAUGGCUAUCACUCAGCUUGACUUUCAAAGCCUUCCAUGCAUGGGGCCUGUCAUUCAUUCAACAUUUCCACCCCCCCACACACAAAUGAGAGCUCUUUCCCUUAGUCCACCCAGGCCCCACCUCUUCUCUGCCUGCCAUCUCUGUGUCUUGCUCACAUUGUUCCAUUUAUCAGAAACACUUUCCCUCCCCAGCCUUUGCCUCUUCAGGAUCAAGCUGACCCAUAAAGAUGGUCUUAUGUACUCAGUCCAAAAUGUUCUUUAUUUCCUCUGAAUUCCUCUAGCAUUUACAGUCAAGAUCCCGCACCCUCUGACUACCACUAAUAGAAUACACUGGGUUCUUACUGUUGUAAAGACUGAUUCAAUCACUCCUGAAAAUAACUUGGAGAGAGAUAUGUCCACCUGUUCUUGCCAGUGAGGAAACUGAGGCUCACAAGGUGAACACCCCAGAAUUGCACCUGGGAUUUGGUUCCGAAGACCACAUCCUUACUCCUCACUGUGCUAGAUUCUCCUGUAUUUGUUUCUUUUCAUCUCCCAAUAGGAUUUAAUGGCACAGAUCAUUUAUUGUGCUAUUUUGUUGCUUUUCCAAUGGGCCUAGCUAAGGACUGAGAACAUGAUAUUCCUUUGAUAAACACUCACUGAUUUUGGCUUCUGACUUCCAGACUUAAUAAUGUUGUGACCCCCAAAAGAGGCAGGCAAUUUAUGUAAGCAGUAGUCACCAAAAUUAUUUGCCCUGAUAAACAACAUAACAAUCAGCACCAGGCCAAAGUGACCAGUGAUAUCCAGAUGACAAACUGCUUAACCUCGGCUGUCUCCUUCCUUUUCCUCCUUAAA